UUGGAAGGCUUAUUUACAUUGGGGCUCUGGUCACAUCUCCCGGCGGGCUACAGACACUGGAUCUGCCCUGCUCGCUCCCUGCCAACGGCCUUCUACACAGCACAGCACUUUCCAGCAGUCCAGCAAUAAUACCAUAGCUAUGUCAUAAUACCGGAAUACGGAAACAAAUGCAUCCUUGAAGGGGGGCCUUAAAAGGGAAACACCAUAACAACAACAGAGGUCAAGGCCAAGCAGCCCAAUACGAGAAAUGACUGACCAAGC